UGCAGGAGCAGCAGAGCUGUAAAAGGACUGGAGAAAGAAGCACAGGGAUUAUAGAGGAAGGAAGGGGCAUGGAAGCAGUGUGUGUGAUUGUAACGGGUACAGGAGAUGAAGUUGAGCAUGGGGAUGUUAUUGUAAUGGGGAUGAUGAUGGUUAAUUAUAGAUGCCUGUUCUGGACUGUCAAAUGAAAUGUAUUGGUCAUGAGACAGGACAAUUACAUCACCUCAAGCAACAUUUCCAAGGUCACUGGAAAAAGCUAAGCAUAAGCACCUGUUUAAUAUGCUUAAAAGACAUAUGACUGCAUUGUCUAUUGAUUGAGGAAGUACUUGGGCCACACCUUGAUUAUGCUUGAUCUUCACUACAUCUUCAGUGAACAGUGGCCCCUAGAAUGUAGG